UGGAAAAUAGCUCAGAGGUUAAGAGCACUGGCUCUUCCAGAGGUCCUGAGUUCAAUUCCCAGUUACCAC
rnacentral:tRNA from 1 species